GCAUUUUAAGGUAAGACUUACAAUGGCGCAGCCGGUCUCAAGCCCGGAAAAAGGAGGAGAGACCACCCAUGUGUGCCGGAUCACGUACAUGUGUGCAACAUACAUGCACGUGAUCCAGCACACAUAUAUAUUACAACCUAGGUUGGUGAGGCAGAGUAUUAUAUAUAACAAAGCUUUGUGUUGUCAUACGAAUUUCUAUUGUGUUCUUUGUUUGUGGUGACAUAAAUGAGACUAGCAUGAAAAGCUUUAUUACAGGCAGCAUAGCUUGUUGCUUGCCAAAGUGAAGAAUGGCGUGUGAAGAAGUGAAGAAACUGCAGGCACUAAGUUUACAGCAAACCACACAUGAAAAUACUCUGCAUACCAAAUAGGAUUUUGGUUGGGCCCUGCCGAAAAUAAAGUGAGUGCUGAGACAAACUCAUUUCAGUCGGGGAAGUAUGAGUUUGCUUGAUCUGUCAUGUUUUGACUUGCUAGUACAACGUUGGCUGUCAACGAUAUAUGCCCAUAUACACAUAUGGUGUUUGCACAAGGGCAUGAUUACUUUUAAAUGGCGAUGUGCUCUCCAAAGAAGAAACUGGAGAAAGAAACUGCAGGUCCUGUCAGUUAAUUGCAGCUUCAACACCAACACCUACUUAAAAUCGGUGCAAUAAAGCCUUGAGGUGGUCAGGAUGAGAAAAACAAAAGCCUAAGAUGAAAUUGGGACUGGUGUGUCUACCCAGCUACUUAUUCAGCGUAGAAACCCCAUUUACAACAACUUUGUUUGCUUCAAUUAACUGCAACAAUUUAGUAGCUGGAACAAGAACAUCAAGCAUCAGCCAAUACUAAGAGAGUGAAUCCCACUUGUAGUUGUAAUUCAUCCCUUGCUUCCUAACUAGCUACUAGAUUCACAAAUUAUUCCUACUACUGAGUUUAGUUGCUACACAUGAGUUCAUCAACAGACCAUUCUCUUACCAACUGGCAUAUAAUUAAGAUGCACUUACCAGAGAUUACAGCUGCUUCGCAUUCUCUUACCCCUGAUACCUACUCCGGAAUCAGCCAGCACGGCCCUCCGUGUCAACUGAAAGAAUGUGGCCCAAAGCAAUGGUUUCAUGUUUACUGCUGAUUUGGAGCUACACAUCGCUAACUGAAACCAAUUCAGCAACGAUGAACAGCAAGUGCAAACAGAGCAACCACAAGGCUACAACACAAGUGAAUACCAGAGCUACUAAUACAGAUCUCGGUCGCAGGCAGUAACGAAUCUGUUAUAGGUUAUGGCCGAGCUCUGCCUAUUCUACAUGGAUGGCUAUGGUAGUCUGCAAACAGUCUCUCUUUUUUGCGAAAUCAAACAAUGUAAAGUUGAUAUACUAGCAACAAGAUAAUAGUCGUUAAUCGUUGGUGCUGCUGUGCGGCCUCUAGGUAGAUGUCUGUUCUAAAGCAGCAUAAAAGCUAAGGAUGCAGAGUCCUGUCAGAUCUCGUUCGAUCCCUGCAAGUAAAAGAAGCGCAGAGCUGGCAUUUGGGUUCUUGAUAGGAGGGCCAAGCAUUUGAGCAUUCUUGAGUUAUUUCUUCGAAUCGUUAUCCAACAUAUAUGUUCUUGGAGAAACUGCAGGUCGCUUGUGUUACUGAUGCUCUAUGUGUAUUCCUUAUCUGAACAUUGCAGGGAAAGACAACACCUGAGACUCUGAAUAAGUCUUUCCAUUCAUCCUCAGCGCCAAUACCUGCAUGCAUUCCCUUACAAAAAACACUUCCAUGCGGCCGGUGAUCGUGCAUUAUAAACGCCAUGGCCAACCUGUUGGCACAAGCCUUGAGAUCACAAUGAGGAAAUCAAUAUCUAUGUUGUGUUUGUUAUUGUAAAGAGGAUUUACAAGUGUACCUAGCUAUCUGGUUGUUCAAAGUCUCAACAUACAACAUCAUAUGUUCCUCAUCUAUUUACCAGAGGACUGAGCUUUGAAAAUGAAGCUGUAUUUUCACUUGUUCCUGCAACAGAAAUAAUCAUACAGCAGACAUCAAUUGAU